rnacentral:rRNA from 1 species
UACGGAGGGUGCGAGCGUUGUCCGGAAUCACUGGGCGUAAAGGGUGCGUAGGUGGCGCCGUAAGUCAGGUGUGAAAUUUCGGAGCUUAACUCCGAAACUGCAUUUGAUACUGCGGUGCUUGAGGACUGGAGAGGAGAGUGGAAUUCCCGGUGUAGCGGUGAAAUGCGCAGAUAUCGGGAAGAACACCCGUGGCGAAGGCGGCUCUCUGGGACGGUACUGGACGCUGAGGCACGAAAGCGUGGGGAGCAACAGG